rnacentral:misc_RNA from 1 species
GGGAGCUUGAUCCCGGAAACGGUCGAUCGCUCCC